GGGCCGUUAGCUCAGUUGGUAGAGCAGCGGACUUUUAAUCCGUUGGUCGCUGGUUCGAGUCCAGCACGGCCUACCA
rnacentral:tRNA from 1 species